AACGCUAGCUACAGGCUUAACACAUGCAAGUCGAGGGGCAGCGGGAUUGAAGCUUGCUUCAAUUGCCGGCGACCGGCGCACGGGUGAGUAACGCGUAUCCAACCUUCCGUACACUCAGGGAUAGCCUUUCGAAAGAAAGAUUAAUACCUGAUAGUAUGAUGAGAUUGCAUGGUAUCAUCAUUAAAGAUUUAUCGGUGUACGAUGGGGAUGCGUUCCAUUAGGUAGUAGGCGGGGUAACGGCCCACCUAGCCAACGAUGGAUAGGGGUUCUGAGAGGAAGGUCCCCCACAUUGGAACUGAGACACGGUCCAAACUCCUACGGGAGGCAGCAGUGAGGAAUAUUGGUCAAUGGACGAGAGUCUGAACCAGCCAAGUAGCGUGAAGGAUGAAGGUCCUACGGGUUGUAAACUUCUUUUAUAAGGGAAUAAACCCUCCCACGUGUGGGAGCUUGUAUGUACCUUAUGAAUAAGCAUCGGCUAACUCCGUGCCAGCAGCCGCGGUAAUACGGAGGAUGCGAGCGUUAUCCGGAUUUAUUGGGUUUAAAGGGAGCGCAGACGGGUCGUUAAGUCAGCUGUGAAAGUUUGGGGCUCAACCUUAAAAUUGCAGUUGAUACUGGCGUCCUUGAGUGCGGUUGAGGUGUGCGGAAUUCGUGGUGUAGCGGUGAAAUGCUUAGAUAUCACGAAGAACUCCGAUUG
rnacentral:rRNA from 1 species